GGCAGUGUAGUGUAAUGGCUAGGGUAUUGGACUUAGAAUCAGGAAAACUUGGGUUCCAGUCCUGACCCUGCCA
rnacentral:tRNA from 1 species